GAAAAAAUAAACACAAUAGUAAAUUAACACUUCUAAUAAUACAAAAAAUAUGAUUGAAUCUAUUUAUCUGAAUAUAAACCUCAAUAAUUUGAAAAGUCACAAAUAAACAAAACUGUAUAAUAACAAUCAACCGUAUAAUUAGAUAGACUCCCAUUACAUAAAUUGUUUGUCUCCCAACAGGUUCGUUUUACCAUAUCAUAUAAAAAAGUCAUCUCUCGAAAAAGCUUGGAUAUUCGUUUACUAUAAAAUCGAUCCGCGAAAAAGCUGGAAAAAACACCGCUACAGACGGAUUAUAAAAACCCAAUCCUCGAACGUUGGCGCGGAACGUGUGGUGUCGCAAUUGGAUUUACCGUUGGUGACACCAACGCGCCAUCUAUAUAACAACGGUGCUCGACCCCGUGGUUCUGUAACGCAAUAAAACGAACCGACUGUCGAACGCAAGAUUCGACCGAAACUCACAAAGCAACGGUGAUUCUCCACGUUUGUUUCUUUCAUCGGAAAAAUAUUUCGAAAACUUGUAAUCCACCUCGCGGCGAGCAAUCGGUAUAUAACUCGAUAGGUGGAGCGCGUGAAGGAAUGGAGGGGAUUGCGUUUCGUUCGUCUAAUUGCGAGUGCCAACUUCCGUGCAAGCAUUCGCGGUAUUUCGAGACGGACGACAGUAUUAAUUUUGCGGAAAUACGGUAAUCGGUAAAUUGUCGAGAUGAUAAAUACGAGACGAUUAACAUGGAAAUUUCAGAAUGACUACAAAAGAAAAAUCAAAACUUUAGAAAUUUUCAAAAAAUAAUAAACUUUUGAAACAACGGAUAAAAGACAAUUAGAAUUUUUAAUUGGAUAGCAGAUCACUUUAAUAGGAUAUAAUUGUUGAAUCGGUUGAGAAGAAAUUCAACAUGGAAAGAACUUAAUACACGAUCAAUACAACACGUAUCAGAAGUGGAAAAGUGUGUGCUUAGCCCAGAAUGGUCUCUAUCCAGGAUUAGAAAGAACUCGAAGCUAAAGGGGUUAAAGAAGGAUUGAAGUCGAUUGCGCUUUACGAACGAUGGUCGCAGUCUGGGUCAAAAGUAAGUGGGCGAUUUAACUGGAUUUUAUUCGAUUGUGCUGAAAAAUCCUAUCGUUAGUGGAAAUGGAAUUAAUCUGGUAAUGAUGCGUAUAUGGAGGUGAAGAAGUAUAAUUGCAAAACUAAUUUAUAAAAAAAGAAAGAUGAAGAUGGAAAAUUAAAAUUGAAGAAAUUAAACUUGAAGAAAGAAUAAUUUUUUUUUAUCAAUAUUUAUUAUCAAGUUAAAUAACCAUAUAUAACAAUUCGAUAAAUAAAGGAAAAAUUUUUAAAUUUUCUUCUUUUUAAAUAAUUCGAUUAACAAUUUUAAAUUAAAUCAAACAAAAUUGUACACGCGUUCUUCUCGUGCAAAUAAAGGAAUAUUUUAUCAAAGAUCUUCUUCUUGAUAAAUCAGAAUUCAGUUUAAUCCUUUGAUCCGAUAUUUCUUGAUUGGUAAUUCUACUCGAUCCAAUAUACGAAGUUCAGAAUUUUGCACGAUGAUUCAACUUACAAAAUGUUUCGUGUUCGACGUCGUGUUUUGAGAUACGAAGGUGGUGGUAAAUGGAGGAGGAAGUGGAUUGACAAGUUUGGCCGACAGAAGGACACGUCUGUAGAUUUCCUCAUAGCUAUGCGUGAAAAUUUCUUAUGACACUUACAGCUUCUCGACACUCGGGUGUUAUAAAAAUGUCUACAACCAUGUGUUCCAGCUUGCUCGACCUUUAUGGUUAUAUCCUUACUAGCGAUGGCCACGAACAUCUCGCGAGCAGACUCGAUCAAUUACCUUCGAAUGGAGUCAAGAAGAUUUGAGAAUUAUUUUAGCAUAAUUUUAAAUUGACAUAUUUUUAUAAGUGUUUCAGAAAAAAAACUAUGUAUACGAUAUGAAAUAUUAUAAAAAUGAAUACACUUAUAUAUUGAAGAUUUUUUUUAAGAAAAAUUUAUUCGUGCAUGUUUUAAUUUAUAUGUUAUAUAUUACGUGAAAAAAUAUUAUAUUUUUGUACUUUUGCAAAGAUUAUUUUCACAAGUUCAUUAAGUAAAAAAAUAAAAAUCAAACAAUUACAAGUGCAAAAUAAA